rnacentral:rRNA from 1 species
UGCCAUAAGAUGAGCCCAAGUGGGAUUAGGUAGUUGGUGGGGUAAAGGCCUACCAAGCCGACGAUCUCUAGCUGGUCUGAGAGGAUGACCAGCCACACUGGAACUGAGACACGGUCCAGACUCCUACGGGAGGCAGCAGUGGGGAAUAUUGCACAAUGGGGGGAACCCUGAUGCAGCCAUGCCGCGUGAAUGAAGAAGGCCUUCGGGUUGUAAAGUUCUUUCGGUGAUGAGGAAGGGUGGUGUUUUAAUAGAACAUUACAUUGACGUUAGUCACAGAAGAAGCACCGGCUAACUCCGUGCCAGCAGCCGCGGUAAUACGGAGGGUGCGAGCGUUAAUCGGAAUGACUGGGCGUAAAGGGCACGCAGGCGGUGACUUAAGUGAGAUGUGAAAGCCCCGAGCUUAACUUGGGAAUUGCAUUUCAUACUGGGUUGCUAGAGUAUUUUAGGGAGGGGUAGAAUUCCACGUGUAGCGGUGAAAUGCGUAGAGAUGUGGAGGAAUACCGAAGGCGAAGGCAGCCCCUUGGGAAAAUACUGACGCUCAUGUGCGAAAGCGUGGGGAGCAAACAGGAUUAGAUACCCUGGUAGUCCACGCUGUAAACGCUGUCGAUUUGGGGAUUGGGCUUAGAGCUUGGUGCCCGUAGCUAACGUGAUAAAUCGACCGCCUGGGGAGUACGGCCGCAAGGUUAAAACUCAAAUGAAUUGACGGGGGCCCGCACAAGCGGUGGAGCAUGUGGUUUAAUUCGAUGCAACGCGAAGAACCUUACCUACUCUUGACAUCCUAAGAAG